GCGGGUGUGGCGGAAUUGGCAGACGCACCAGAUUUAGGAUUUGGCGCCGCAAGGUGUGAAGGUUCAAGUCCUUUCACCCGCACUA
rnacentral:tRNA from 2 species